rnacentral:rRNA from 1 species
GAUGAACGCUAGCUACAGGCUUAACACAUGCAAGUCGAGGGGCAGCAUGGUCUUAGCUUGCUAAGGCCGAUGGCGACCGGCGCACGGGUGAGUAACACGUAUCCAACCUGCCGUCUACUCUUGGACAGCCUUCUGAAAGGAAGAUUAAUACAAGAUGGCAUCAUGAGUCCGCAUGUUCACAUGAUUAAAGGUAUUCCGGUAGACGAUGGGGAUGCGUUCCAUUAGAUAGUAGGCGGGGUAACGGCCCACCUAGUCUUCGAUGGAUAGGGGUUCUGAGAGGAAGGUCCCCCACAUUGGAACUGAGGCACGGUCCAAACUCCUACGGGAGGCAGCAGUGAGGAAUAUUGGUCAAUGGGCGCAGGCCUGAACCAGCCAAGUAGCGUGAAGGAUGACUGCCCUAUGGGUUGUAAACUUCUUUUAUAAAGGAAUAAAGUCGGGUAUGUAUACCCGUUUGCAUGUACUUUAUGAAUAAGGAUCGGCUAACUCCGUG